rnacentral:rRNA from 1 species
GACGAACGCUGGCGGCGUGCCUAAUACAUGCAAGUAGAACGCUGAAGGAGGAGCUUGCUCUUCUGGAUGAGUUGCGAACGGGUGAGUAACGCGUAGGUAACCUGCCUGGUAGCGGGGGAUAACUAUUGGAAACGAUAGCUAAUACCGCAUAAGAGUAGAUGUUGCAUGACAUUUGCUUAAAAGGUGCAAUUGCAUCACUACCAGAUGGACCUGCGUUGUAUUAGCUAGUUGGUGGGGUAACGGCUCACCAAGGCGACGAUACAUAGCCGACCUGAGAGGGUGAUCGGCCACACUGGGACUGAGACACGGCCCAGACUCCUACGGGAGGCAGCAGUAGGGAAUCUUCGGCAAUGGACGGAAGGCUGACCGAGCAACGCCGCGGGAGUGAAGAAGGUUUUCGGACCGUAAAGCUCUGUUGUAAGAGAAGAACGAGUGUGAGAGUGGAAAGUUCACACUGUGACGGUAUCUUACCAGAAAGGGACGGCUAACUACGUG